rnacentral:lncRNA from 1 species
GUUACACACUUUGCGGGAGUGGCACAUUGCACUUCUAUAAAUAAGGAGCUAUUUCAGAAACUGUCAGCCAAGUGCCAUGUCACUUCCUUGGGUUUCCAAGAUGAAUCUUAACUAAAGGUAAAGCCCCAUAAGCCCCCUGCCCAGAUACAUACAGUCAAAACGGCCCUGUGUUCAGAGGUAGCCACAGCGCGCAAUUUCUGAAGUCCCAUCAGAAAUUGCAUACAGAAAAUGUGGAAUUAGCAAAUUGAUUCAGACUCUUCUGCCAUCCUCCAGCUCUCAGCGGUUGGAGGACAGAUGGCAGCUAACAGAUUGAAAUUGAAUCCUGACAAGGCAGAAGUACUGUUUUGGGGGGACAGGAGACGGGCAGGUGUGGAGGACUCCCUGGUCCUGAAUGGGGUAACUGUGCCCCUGAAGGACCAGGUGUGCAGCCUGGGAGGCAUUUUGGACUCACAGCUGUCCGUGGAGGCGCAGGUCAAUUCUGUGUCCAGGACAGCUGUCUACCAACUCCAUCUGGUACUCAGGCUGAGACCCUACCUGCCCGCAGACUGUCUCACCAGAGUGGUGCAUGCUCUGGUUAUCGCUCGCUUGGAUUACUGCAAUGCGCUCUACGUGGGGCUACCUUUGAAGGUGACCCGGAAACUACAACUAAUCCAGAAUGCGGCAGCUAGACUGGUGACUGGGAGUGGUCGCCGAGACCACAUAACACCGGUCUUGAAAGACCUACACUGGCUCCCAGUACGUUCCCGAGCACAAUUCAAAGUGUUGGUGUUGACUUUUAAAGUCCUAAAUGGCCUCGGUCCAGUAUGCCUGAAGGAGCGUCUCCAUCCCCAUCGUUCUGCCCAGACACUGAGGUCCAGUGCUGAGGGCCUUCUGGCGGUUCCCUCACUGUGAGAAGUGAGGUUAUAGGGAACCAGGCAGAGGGCCUUCUCGGUAGUGGCGCCUGCGCUGUGGAACGCCCUCCCACCAGAUGUCAAAGAGAAAAACAACUACCAGACUUAUAGAAGACAUCUGAAGGCAGCUCUGUUCAGGGAAGCUUUUAAUGUUUAAUAGACUAUUGUAUUUUAAUAUUUUGUUGAAAGUCACCCAGAAUUGGCUGGGGAAACCCAGCCAGAUGGGCAAGGUAUAAAUAAUAAAUUCUUCUUCUUCUUCUUCUUCUUCUUCUUCUUCUUCUUCUUCUUCUUCUUCUUCACCACUUAGGGCUAUAUUUGGACCAGUACCAAGAGAUUAUUGUUAUUAUUAUUUUCUGCAGUUCAUAUUGUAGCUUGACGUGAAAGUCUCAGCUGGUUUCAGAUGACAUCAGCUUGAAGGGAAGGGGUACCUUUUUAUUAAAAAGUGUGGGGGUAGACUUGCAAACUCAGCAAAGAUAUAUUUUAUUUUUGCACACUUGUUUUUCAAAACAGAAUCUGACUUGGGUGUUCACAAGCCGCUCUCGUCUCAUACAUUACUGCAUUACUCAUCAUUGUGAGAGGCAUCACUUUUUGAUAGGAUUUCUCUCUUGCUUAAUCACUGUUGAAUGUGAUUUUCUGUAGGAACACCAAAACAAAAGCCCGUGGGGGAUUUUUUUUAUUUAAAAAAAUCCCCAGCUGGGCUUUUGUAUAAUUUUAUAUACAUUGUAUUGGCUAGGCUUUUGGCAUCUAUAAACAGCUGCAUCUGGGCACUUGUGGAAGAGUUCUAUUGAAAAUAAUGAACCAGUGCCUGAUAUUUAGGUAGGAGACUGGAGUAAUGUCAAUUCUUAGCCAUGCAGGUAGUAAAUAACCAGUUUCCUGAUCACUUGUGAUGAGUAAGAGUGUCCUACAAGGUGAUUUAAGCAAGCAAACUGUAUCAAAAGUUAACAUGCUUUCAAGCGACCCUUGGUCAUUGCUUUUAAAUGGACACAAGAUUCAGAACCAUUAAUUUUUUACCUGGUUUGUUCAUGAUCACUGUGUUUUCACCCAGACCUGUGCUAAAGAAUGAAUGCUAUGAUAGGUAAAAGAAACCACUGAAGAACACACAGCUGAAGCACUGGGAAUCCAGAACAGCAGUUUUAUAAACUGGUUGCCCUCUGUUGUAAGUUUGAUUGACAGUGACAUUUAUAAGCUAAUGGAGGCACUUGUACAACUGGGAGAACGGGCUAAACAGGUGAGGAAAGUGGCUGAUGGAUGAGACUUCUAAGAGGAAAUUGCACACACUGAAUUCUUAUUUUUUUUCCAAAAGAUACAUGUUCCAGUCACUAAAUAUAACAUAGAUAACAAAGAAAGUUCAACACUGCUAAGGCUCUCAGUGUGCCUAACACACUUCAGAGUGCCUAGCAUUUUUUAAAAAAAAUUAAUAUGCUGAAAAUAUAACAAAUAACGAGGUAACAUUACCCUCCCUACAGGAAAUGAUAAAUAUCUUAUUACAAUACAAUAUUUAACCACUAUAAUCAACAUUAUUUGGGUUCAAACUGUGCUGUUGACUCCAUUGGCAUUUUUGGAACUCAUUCAGAGUCACCAGUUUCAUUGAAUUUAAACUCAACGUGGCAGAAAGAACGAGGGAAAAGGGGGUGGCAGAAAGACAGAGAAAGGGGGUCACUCCAAUCACUUUGGGUUUUGGUCCUACCCAGUUUACUUCAGUGUUGCCCACUGGCUAGCCUACGGCCCCUAGUAUAUUACCUCUGGUGGAAUGUGGCCCUCAGUAGAGAGAAGCUUCCUCACUUGGAUGAGCUGGGCUGCAAUGGGCAGGACUAAGAAUAUAGGGAAUUAUGUUAACAGUCUAUACAGUUUUUAAAAAUGUGAAAUCAAGCACACCUGAGCAAGCGUUAGAAGAGGCCAGUCUUAAAAUAGAUAUUUUUUUGCCUACAUUCGGAAAAAAGUUGACGUGAGAAAGUUGUCAGGCCUCAUAUCGUAAGGUCGUGCCAAUUCACCUAUUCUGUUGAAGCGACUCUGUCACCAGAGAUUCGGUUUGUGAUAAUGAAGGCAUUCUGUGGCAAGAAGCAGGAAGCAGUGCUUCUAUUCAGCUCUUAUCUGACCUCACUUUGCCUCUUCAUGCUGACUGACCACAUCUGAUUUCAAAGGGGACGAGUGCUGCUUCUGACAUCAUUGCCUCGCCCACAAUAUUUGAUUCACUUGCUGAAGCAGGGGGAGAGGAAAGGAAUUGGGGCAAGGAAGCAGAUUUUUAAAAUAAAAAAACCAACAAUGCAUUUUGAACACAUUGGAAUAUUGCUGUGAUUUUGCCCUUGUAGAAGAGAGUUCUGCAGAAGGUGAAUUGAUAUAACAGCCCUGCACCCCCAGCACACUUGCAGAGAAAUGUUGUUUCUUGAUAAUUUGUUAUGGGCAGAAUUAGCCCAUUUUGUUUUGUUUUCUUCUAUAAUUUUUUAUUAAAUAUUCUGUUUUACAUUUUAGAAUAUUCAUUUAAACAACCUUGAAAUAUCAGUCACUUCCGUUCUUCUGUUUCCAAACAUAAAUCCCUGCAUAUUUUACAUAAACUAAACCAUUCAGUAUUCCAUUAUUACAUCCAUCAAAACGUAUUUACGUUGGCAGCAUUAAGAUAAAUUCAAGUGUACACAAUGCCCCCCAUAUACUCAAUAAACAUUUUCCAAUCUUCUUUAAACAUAUGUUCUUCUUGUUCUCUUAUUCUGUAUGUCAGAUCCACAAGCUGUGCAGUUUAAGUUGCCAUUCUUCUUUAGUGGGGACCUUAUUCUGGUCCCAGAAUAAGCCCAUUUUGAAGUCCACUGUCAGGACUUGAGCUCCGGGAAGCGAUUCAGUGGGAGUUAGGAAGUGUGCCAGGUGAAAAUCUGACGAGGGCAUGGAGGGUCAAGCCAGAAGACAAAGCCAAGAGCAGGGAUUGGCAACACAGCACCUGUACGCUCACAUUUGCCCCAGAAGCUUUCUGUAGCACCCACAGAGUUCCCUCACCUGUUGAAGAAGAAACAUUCUGUUGUAGCCACUAGAAUAGGUUGCAGUGUGGGCUUGAUUCCUGUGUGUUUGUGUGUGGUGCCUGUCACAAAUUCUCCAGGUUGCAAAUGUGGCCACGGGCCCCCAAAAGUUGGUGACCUGUACAAGGGAUUAAACCGAGGUGUUGGGCAGCCUGGAGCCAGGAACGGCUAUAGAUGCUGAGACAUAUUUCCAGCGUCCUCGGAAAGCAGAGCCCAUCCUGCUGAGGACAGCCACUGGCCAUCCAGCUAGGUAGAUGGAUAGAUAAUUUAUUAUGGUUGGAGACCAGCUUAUAAAACACACUUGGGGGUACAGUC